UUUGAUAGACUGAGGCCAGCAUUCACUAUAUACAUGCAAGACAUAAACAAAAACAGUUUGUUGCAAAGUGUUUGCUGUAUGAACUUAAUGUCUCUCUUAAAAACUUCAAUGAGUUCUUCAAGAAGCAGAGAAGUACCGUAAAAUACUGGUGGUAAGAACAGUUUCCAAGGGGAACACCUUACAAAUCUCCUGGAAUGCUGGAUUUUGUAACACAAACUGGUAAUUCAAUUCUUGUAAAUAACCAAACACAUCAACGGAAGGGAGAGGAGAUGAUGAAUAAUUCAUAAAAAUGAAAAAGAGCUAAAUUUAUCAGGUGAUUAAUUCUCAACAAAUAUUUAGACUAAUUUUAAUUUUAUGUUCAUGGGUAUGAAUUCAAACACAGUAAAUCCAGGAAGCUGCAACUAACGUUCCCAUAGUGAAAUUAACUCAGGAACGUUCAUAGAUUUAAACAGUAUGUUUUAGAUUAUAUACCACACGUAGGUAUUUAUACAGAUUUACAUAUGUCUUGAAAAUAACUGCGGUUAACAAGCUCUGACAAUCAUCAUUAUUUGUUAACCGUUUCACUACCAGGACUUGCUAUAAUUUCUAGCAGUGGCUCAGGCUACGAUCGGCAGAACAGGGGAACUGGAGGGAGCGCUGCUGUUUCCUUUCCCCGUGCACCAUCUAUGGGCUUCGUGGGCAAGAAGCUCCCUCCUGUGGAAAUGUAUGGUUUUGCAGAAGGACGCAGGUGACGCCAAUUUGCUUUUCUCACUGUGUAAUUCUAUUAAAUUCAGUCCUUUCACUCCUAAAUUCCCCUAAUGCAGACUGAGAAAAAGAAGCAGAAUCCUAUUUUAGUUUUUCCCUUUAAAUCACUUUGCUACCUUCGACAGAAGCAGCUGUUCUUGCAGCCACAGUCUUGCUUCUCACGCCAAACCAUGCUCUUGCACUGGUGCUGUGUGUAGCCAAACACAGUGUGUGCUGAGACCAGCAGCCCCCCUGUUGUUUGCUGCUUUUCACCCCCAAUCUCCAGCCUCGUGAUAUCCCUUAACAAGCCAAAGACAUCUUUAAAACAAAUGUGUCCAACUCACACUGAAUCCAAUAGAGCUGCUUUUACCUGCAGGGCUGAAUUUGGCUGUCAGUGUCCUCGUAGGUGAGCAAUGUCUGCUUGCAUAUGUUUUCUUAUAUACUGCAAGCAGAUGAUGGUAUUGUAGUUCUUGGUAGUCAGCACAUAAUGACUUGGUUGCUGUUUUCGUGUGUUAGUAUGCUUUCUUUUUCUUGGAGAAAAAAAAAAAUAAUACUUGCAUAUGUGUGUGUAUGAAUGCCCUCUUUAAACCCAAUGGCGGCCUCCAAUAUGACCCAGAAUUGCCUCAGCCUCUGAACAAAACAAAGCACGGGGGCUGGGACAGCUCUUGCUACCAAGGAGAACUUCCUUGGCAGCCUGCUUGGCCUUGCUCCUACAUUUCUGCUCAGUAUCCUGGCAGAAAUAUAGUGCCAAUGCCAGCACUUUUUCAACUAGAAACUCCCUACUUAUGUGAGGACAAGAAUUCGGGUUCACCAAAGAUGAAGUUUGGUGUGAUAUUACCAAAGAAAAGUUAACAUUAUUAAAAAUAAAUAAAUAAAUCUGUGGCUGUACAAACUUUCUUAAUAACAGCGAUGUAUUUCACGUUUUGGGAGUUCUUUACAAAACUCACAUUUCUCAGUUCCCCAGUGGUUCCAAAGCCCAAAGGAGAAUUCCGUAUUUCCCACAAGGACAAGUACAGUCUAAAUUAGAUGUGUGUCCUGAACAUCUAUACAGAAACAUGGUUGUUCUAGUGAAGACCUUAGUUCAGCCAAGUAACUAGUUUGCCACUUGCUAGCUGCCGUGUGUGAUACAUCGCUUUUGUGCUCAGUAGAUGGCAGCAACAGUUCAUUAAUAGAAUGGCUUUCGCAGAUCACAAGGUGUACUCAGGACGCUGGUCAAAGGUCAACACACUUUUAACCUCUUAUUUCUCCCUUAACUGGAGGAUUUUUUUCUUUGUUGCCUGAUAUAAAACCUUUAGCGCAAGAUGUUGGCUUGUCCUUAUCGCCUGCUUUUUAUAGCUGGAUUACAGGUGACAAAUGCCUCAUGAGGUAACAUGGGCAGGAGCCCAGUCUACCUCAAAGAGAGCAUUUCCUUUGGUCAGCCUCAAGGUGAGGCUCCAGCCUCCGGCAUCUGGAGUAUCUCUCUAUCUUCCUUGGGUGGAGGAAGGAGAAGCUCCAAUUCCAGGGCACUCCCCACCUUCUGCAGAAACAAAGUGAUAUGUCUAAAGGAAGCUGCUUUGUGGUGUGGUCCCUGGAAGAAUGGGGAGUUUCUAUGGGUAAAAUACCUUUGUCCCUGUGUCAUAUCAUCAUGGUGCACUGCAGUGUGCUGUCCUGGGGCAGAGGAGUGGAAAGCCCCAGUACUGCCAUAACCCCAGAUGAUAACAGUACCUGGGAAGAGAGUGGCAACACAGCAUCUCUGUAAGCUCUGAGAUCUUCUGGUUAUCUAAUAUAUUGGGGAUAUGAAAGUACGUCUCUUUGAACACUUUGUGCAAUUAAAAAAAAAAAUCUUAUUAAUUUUUUUGUUCUAUAAUUAGACAAAUGUUGGAAUGAUCUCAACUCAAUGUUUUCUAAUGGAGGUAAGUGGUUCCUCUAUUGAGAGAAAGAAAAAAAAAAGCAAUUUCUUCUUAGUUGUAUUGCUUUAUUUUCAAUUGGGAUGAUAUAUUCUAAGUUAGAAUCAUGAAUAUUACUUUAAUUCAAAGAGCAGCUACAGGCUUUUAACUGUACUUUUUGUUCCUGAAAAGUGGCACCCUUGGUGGGGGUAGGGGGAGCUGCAGCUUUAGAUCCUUAGGAAAAAUUACUCCAUAUUUUGUGAAAGGAGAUUUGUUAUUUUCUGGAAUGCAAGAUGUUUUGUUAAACUCAGUCUCUCUUAGGAAUAGCAUCCUCAAAGCCAAAUCACUCCCAUUAGCAAUUGCCAUGAGACUGACUUGUUUAUUUAUCAGCAGUUAAUUCCUUCACUCCUCUCACAUGAAGCUAAGAAAUCAGUUUGCUAAAGAGAUGAAUACGUAUUUUUUGGAGUGAGGCAGCCCAGGCAAGAUACCACUUCCUGCUUUCUUUUCCAUAUUUGUUAAUGUUCUUUUAUUAGCACAGUACUAACCUUUCACAAAACAAAGAUCAGAUGGGCAGGCUGAUGCAUGCCUAGUGAUUGCGCCCCGGAGUACAUCAAUUCCUUUAACUUAAAGGACAGGAAAUUUUUGGCAUUGUGAAAAGAGGUCUGUAGGUGAUUUCCUGAUUGUGCAUCUCCAGAAUUGCUACUGAAAAUUAAUCUACAUUCACAAUUAGGUCUUGCAUUCCAUUCUCUUGCGAAAAUGAUAGCAGAGACCUCUCAUCCCCAUUAUUUUCUGUUUUCUUCUGGCAAAGGAUUAGUAUUUCUGUAGGAAUCAGAGUCCUGUCCUUAUGUACCCUGAUAGCCUCGAAGUCUACUUGAAAGCCACAGACUUGCGUUGAACAAGCCAUGUCAACAGGAUGUGUUAGCUCAGUGUGUACUUCAGGGGCUUUCUUACUGUGUGACAACCACACGAGGUAAGUGCUCUACUUGCAGUGCAGUUGUUUUGUAUAAAAAGAAAAAGACCUGAGCUGCCAUUGGUAGUCAUUGCUCUAUAUAGAAAUACUUCCUGGCCAGAAAUUGCUGGAUACCAACAAGCAGUGUGAGGGAGUAACCGGGAUAAUUCAGGACAAAAAUGUAAGAGAGACCAGAAAAAAAAACUGGGCACAGGAAAGGGAAUGUAGGGAACAGUGCCCGUGUAAACAGGCAGGGUGUGUCUUCUGGUAUGCUUUUUUCCUAACAGUGGAGAACCUGGGGCUGACGCUGACAUGAAGCAUGCCAGUAAAUGUAACACCUGAAGAAAGAGUACACAUGCGAGUCACAAAAGCUUUUGUAAGCUAAAAUUGUUUGCUUUAGCUGCAGGAAGCAGAACUGUGGCACACAGCCAUUUUGCCCUGAUUUUUUCUGUGUUUUUCAACAGAAAAGUCAUCUCCUCUAACAGUUGUGUGCAUGUGAUUCCUGCACUGAAACUGGCUGGGAUGCUGUCAGGAUAAGAAGAUGCAGUUACAUGGCUAGGAGAAAGUAUCAGCAUACAUGAGACUUGACCCCACAGUGACCUGCUUGCACAAGCAGCCUCAGAUUUCUCUGAAGCCUUUAGGUCGAUUGUUCAGUCUGCCCUUGUUGGAACUGGGUUUGGCACGUUUUAGGAACAGUGUGUUUAGUUUGAGCUGUCACCACCCUGGUUAGCAUUGUCCUGAUGUUAUGAAAGGUGGAAUGACUGGGAAGCCAGGGGAGCACCUGACCAAGAUGAAUCAUUGUGGAACGAUAGUGUAACUUCCAGGAAAGACAGAAGCCAUCACAGAACAGAGCAGGCAGGGAGCGGAGGAGGACACCGUGAGAAAGAAAUAAUUAUGGCAAAAGUAAAAGAAUGCUCUCAACUACUUGUUCAGUCUAAUUGUAUCCUUACAAAUAUGAGCUCAGUGGAAAAAAUAUGGCAGAGAUUCAUUACAGGACAUCUGCUUGGUGAAGUCAUUUUUCUAGUGCACUGCUGGUCUGUUCAAGCCGUAAUACUCUGCUCUUUUGUCCUUAAGAAAUAUCACUGAAAGAAGAUGAUGAAGAAAGAAAAAAUGUUUUAAGAAAAUCAUUGAUAACUCGCAGCUCGAUUAUACUCAACAAUUGAAUCAGAAACUGGAUGGCAAAUACAAUUUAUAAUACCAUGUGUUGGCCAAGUCCAUCAGAAAUAUUUAAGCUGCCUUUUGCUACAUGUUCACCAUCUCUGACACGCUGGUGGUGAUCUGAUGUUACUCUCGCCAUGUUUCAUCGACAGGAUUGAUGUCUCAUCAUCACGGUUGGGUACCACAGGAUCCAACAAGGUGCCAGACUUUAGGAGGACCGGAGGCUGAACUGGCUGUGAGUAGGUUUCUUCCAGAAAAACGUCUGAGAGAAAAAGGAAGGGAUGUGCUGCUGUUCUCCUGGACGGGACAAAGAUAUCCUCAUGUAGGAAACGACGUUCAUCCCUAUCUCAAACAGACACGUUUGUUGGAAUAGAGUAUUUAAAUCUGUGCAUAGACAUAGAUGGAAACCAGCAGCCCUAGCAUGGUUUAUAGGAAUUACAGAUCAUCCUGAGUGCAAUCACACGGCAUGUGCAAGACAACCAGGGAAUCAGGCCCAGCCAACAUGGGUUCAUGAAAGGCAGGUUGUGCUUGACCAACCUCAUCUCCUCCUAUGACAAAGUGACCUACCUGGUUCAACAAGACCAAGUGCUGGAUCCUGAACAUCGGUCACAACAACCCCAAGCAACAGUAUAGACCUGGGGCAGGGUGGCUGGAAGGCUACGCAGAAAAAAAGGAUCUGGUGAUGUUAGUUGAUGUUCAGCUGAACAUGAGCCAGCAGUGUGCCCAGGUGGCCAAAAAGGCCAAUGGCAUCCAGGGUUGCAUCAGAAAUAGAGCAGCCAGCGGGAGCAGGGAAGUGAUUUUCCCUCUAUCAGCUCUGGUGAGGUUGCAUCUCGAGUACUAAGUUCAGCUUUGAGCUCUCACUAUGAGUAUGUCACUGAGGCCCUGGAGCGUGUCCAGAAAGGGGCAACAAAGCUGUGAAGGGUGUGGAGCGCAAGUCUUAUGGGGAACAGCUGAGGGAACUGGGAUUGUUCAGUCUGGAGAGGAGAAGGCUCAGGGGGGACCUUUUCACCCUCUAUAGCUCCCUGAAAGGAGGUUGUGAUGUGAUGGGAGUCAGCCUCUUCUCCCAGGUAACAGCAAUAGGAUGAGAGGGAAUGGCCUCAAGUUGUUCCAGCGGAGGUUCAGGUGGGCAUUAGGAAGAUCUCUGAAAGAGUGGAGAUGCACUGGCACAGGCUGCCCAAGGAAGUGGUGGAGUCAUUGGCCAUGGAGGUGUUCAAGAAACGUGGAGAUGUGGUACUUAGGAACAUCAUUUAGUGGGCAGUAUUAGAGGUAAGUUGGACUUAGAUGAUCUUAGUGGUCUUUUCCAACCAUUAUGCUUCUAUGAUUACGUGAACGCAUGAAAAAAGCAAGUAGAAGGAGAUUUCACCAACACUUCCAUCAGCACAUGAGCCACACUGCUCCAAGUGCUUUCUUUCCUUAACAAUUCAGUUUCUUUUUUUCGCUGUUGUUUUUCCCAUGACUGAGAAGCACACAAGUUUGUGUGUAUAAAUAUAUCUAUACAUAUAUACUUCUUCUUUUUCCCUAAGGAAAAAGAAAAAAGUAAAAUAAUUUCAGCUAUCAUUUAUUUCACUUCUGAUGUGAGCAUACAGCUUGGAGCUAAUAUCUGUACUUAAAAACACAUGGCCCAAAGGUGCUGCAAAGGUUUUCAGAGCUGUGAGAGCUGACAAAGAGGUGAUUGUUGUGCUGCUGAGGUGAUGUUGAUGCCAUAAGUAAUAUAUUUCAGAAUGGGGCUAGUUUUUAUUACAUCUUAGACACAGUGAUGAAUCAGAUUUAAGAAUUAGGUAGCCAAUCCUUAACAAUAAAGGUGCAGAAUAUCUUUUUCCUUCUUGUGUAAAUGCAUUUUUUAUUUCUAGCUUUGUUCGAUUUAUCAAACAGGAUUACUUUCUAUUACUACUUGUCUGAAAGUACUCCUAAGCCUUCUGAAGUAGGAAUGUAUAAUGAAAGAAAAAGAUUGUAGCAGCCUAGAGAUGGAAAUAUGUAUGUGUGCUGCAUGCAGGCUCUUGUUUGUUGCUGGUGAAAAUGCACAGCUGAUGGUGUUGAAAAACAGUGUUUCGAAGCUGAGAUCUUGCUCUGUCAAAUAGUGCUUUUUGUAUCUCUUAUAGUUUUCGCAGAAAUAAAUACUUUGAGUGACCUAUGUAAAAUGAUCCUUAUAAAACCAGGCCUUUCAAUAAAAUACAUCCCUGGCUUAUCUAGGUG
ensembl:lncRNA